CUUAGUUGACUGAAGAAGUUCAGCGUGAGGCUCCAGAUCCUCAAGACCUUCUGCAGGGGCACUAUUGAGAGCAUUCUGAUGGCUGUAUCACCGCCUGGUACGGGCACUGCACCAACCUUGGUCACUGGGCACUGCAGAGAGUGGUACGGACAGCCCAGCGCAUCUGUGGACGUGAACUUCCCUCCAUUGAGGACAUUUACAGCAGCAGGUGCAGAAAGAAGGCCUGGAAGUUCAUCAGGGUCACCGGUCACCCCAACCAGAAACUGUUUUAGCCACUUCCAUCUGGCAAACGAUAUCACAGCAUUAAAGCCAGCACCGACAGGCUACGGGGCAGCUUCUUUCUACAAGCCGUUAGACUUUUAAAUUCACAUGUCUGUUCAUUGUGAUGGAGUCAUAACACAAAGAUUUUUACUCCCUCAUGUUGUGGGAUGGAUGCUCUUUGAUAAUCUUCUAGCAGUAGAAUUGGCUUAGCUGCACACCAGUCAGCAUCCACUCCAACACAAAGUGUCUGAGGCUUCUCGCUGAAGUGUCCAACAAUAAUCAGCCAACAUUGAUGAUGGAUUCCAGUUACCCCGAUCCCAUUUCUCCAUGACCGCAAUGUCCUGGUGAAACCUUUCACCACCCUUGUCACUGACAGUGCCAAGAUUUGCAGGAAAGAAGUCUAAAUGGGAAUGCAGAAAAUGAAUCUUUAGUGACAUGUUACACUUUAUGGUUUUGUAUGCUUGAUGCUCGUUGUCAACCAGCUGCAUGUAGUUUGGUGCUCGGAAGUUGCCAAGAAAAUUUUCAACAACAUCCUUCGAUUCCUUCCAUGCAGUUUUCUCUGGUCCCACUAGAAGUUCUUUGAGUUGCCUGUCAUUGAUGACCCAUUUGAUUUGUGGACCAACAAAAACACCUUCCUUCAUGUUGGCAUCAGUUAUUCUGAUUUGAAUUACAAAUGAAAUAACAUUACAAAGAAAAGGUGCAUGGUGGGAAAUUCUCAUGGUGAUUUUCAUGAUCAGCAGCCUAAAAUCUAUAAGGUAUACCCAAAAGUAUCCAGGAAGCAACAUCUUUGUUGUCCAAUGUUACCCAGUCUCCACUUCAGUGUUGUUCCUGUGAGCUGCUCUACAAAAAUUAGUUUUCAUGUAUCCUAAACUACAAAAAUAACCCCACUUAAUAAUGAUAUUAUUGCUUGAAUGGCCAUUAGGGACAACCUGAAGUCAAAGUACUGUAUAAAUGUGAAUAUUUAUUUUAAUCUUGUUGUGUUGGUUGCACUGUCCUGACAAACAGAAUCCAAGCACAAUGAACUCUCCACUCAUUGUCUCUGACAACUUCACUAUUUCUGACUCUCAGCUCAGAUAAUUUAGUGCCUCUCGUGAAGCUUUUCCAAUAUCUCCAACCUCUUAGAAGAUUUUGCAUCCACAGUUGCUGUGUGAAUUCACUUUCUCUGCUAUGUACAUGGAUGAUACAGAAAUUUAAACCUUGUGGGACUUGUUGUUUCUGCAAUAAAAAGAUGUUCCAGAGUUAAGUGAAGAUCUAAUGACACAACAUCUGUUCCGGCAAAUUGGAACGGAUCCAAGUCACUUCUCAGGCAAGAGUUGAUAUGUUUCAUCACCAACUUCUCAAAACACUUCAUCACUGUGGAUGGGCCAACACGCACUUCCAUCCAAAACCAGGUGGAAAGGAUAUGUGCUUCGUACCAGUUGAAGAUAUUCUGGUCAGGCUGAUGGAGCCAUCAUCACCGGGUCAUGCAAGCAGGAUGAGGGAGAUCUACCACCUGUCUGCUGAAGUCAUGGACUUCAUAGAGGAGGAGCAUAUUAAUCGUCUACUUCCUGAUAAAGCUGACUGAACGUUUUCGAAGACUUUCAAGCCCAGAAAUAGAUGGAGAUUUUUUUUUAGUUCCUGGUGUGUUUUCUGAUGUUUAUUCUUAAACACUGCAGUUGUACUGUAGUUUUUAUUUUGCUGUUUACUGUUGUUAAUAUUUACGGAAGGAUAAAAUGUACAUGACAAGUUGUUAUUUGUUGUACCAAAUUGUUAAAUAAAGUUGUUAAGCAAGGAAGCAUUGACUUGAGUGGUGAAAAGGUUGGAAUUGUUUGUUGUAAUUAGGCCACUGCCACCACCGUCAGGUCUCAGUCACCACCGUCAGAUGGAACUUUCUUUGUUUUAAAUUAAUAUGCUUACAAUCUGUUCCUCCAAAAUAUUUGAUUUAAUAAAGUAAUUCUCUCUUUAAAAUUAAAAAUGUGUUCUUUUAUGUCCAAAAUUGUUAUUUUGUAUAUUUAAUGCUCAUGAUAAAAGUUGCAUGAUGUAAGA